AGAAUCAACGCUGGCGGCGUGCCUAACACAUGCAAGUCGAACGCGAAAGUCCCGCAAGGGAUGAGUAGAGUGGCAAACGGGUGAGUAACACGUGGGUGACCUGCCCUCGAGCGGGGAUAACGUCCCGAAAGGGACGCUAAUACCGCAUGACAUCCUGCCUUUGAACAGGCGGAGAUCAAAGCUGGGGAUCGCAAGACCUAGCACUCGAAGAGGGGCCCGCGCCUGAUUAGCUAGUUGGUGAGGUAACGGCUCACCAAGGCGACGAUCAGUA
rnacentral:rRNA from 1 species